CCUACGGGAGGCAGCAGUGGGGAAUCUUCCGCAAUGGACGAAAGUCUGACGGAGCAACGCCGCGUGAGUGAUGACGGCCUUCGGGUUGUAAAGCUCUGUGAUCGGGGACGAAUGGCUGGUAUGCUAAUACCAUAUCAGAGUGACGGUACCCGAAUAGCAAGCCACGGCUAACUACGUGCCAGCAGCCGCGGUAAUACGUAGGUGGCAAGCGUUGUCCGGAAUUAUUGGGCGUAAAGCGCGCGCAGGCGGCUUCUUAAGUCCAUCUUAAAAGUGCGGGGCUUAACCCCGUGAUGGGAUGGAAACUGGGAGGCUGGAGUAUCGGAGAGGAAAGUGGAAUUCCUAGUGUAGCGGUGAAAUGCGUAGAGAUUAGGAAGAACACCGGUGGCGAAGGCGACUUUCUGGACGACAACUGACGCUGAGGCGCGAAAGCGUGGGGAGC
rnacentral:rRNA from 1 species